rnacentral:rRNA from 1 species
UGCGUAGGCGGGCUAAUAAGUCAGUGGUGAAAUCUUCCGGCUCAACCGGGAACCUGCCAUUGAUACUGUUAGUCUUGAGUUCGGUUGAGGUAGGCGGAAUGUGUAAUGUAGCGGUGAAAUGCUUAGAUAUUACACAGAACACCAAUUGCGUAGGCAGCUUACUAGACCGACACUGACGCUGAGGUACGAAAGCGUGGGGAGCGAACAGGAUUAGAUACCCUGGUAGUCC